UGGGAUUAGAUACCCCACUAUGCUUAGCCGUAAACAUAGACAGUACAAACACAAUACUGUCCGCCAGAGAACUACAAGUGAAAAACUAGAAACUCCAAGGACUUGGCGGUGCCCCAUAUCAACCUAGAGGAGCCUGUCCUAUAAUCGAUAGUCCACGCUGCACCUUACCAUUUCUAGCAAUUCAGCCUAUAUACCGCCGUCGAAAGCUUACCCUAUGAAAGAAAUGAAGUAAGCAAAAUAGUUAACAACUAAAACGUCAGGUCAAGGUGUAGCACAUGAAAUGGCAGAGAUGGGCUACAUUUUCUACCCUAGAAAACACGAACAGCACAGUGAAACCUGUUCUCAAAGGCGGAUUUAGCAGUAAGGUAAAAAAGAAACUCUACCUAAAACCCGCUCUGGGGCGCGCACACACCGCCG
rnacentral:rRNA from 1 species